rnacentral:rRNA from 1 species
AUUGAACGCUGGCGGCAGGCCUAACACAUGCAAGUCGAGCGGAUGAAGGGAGCUUGCUCCUGGAUUCAGCGGCGGACGGGUGAGUAAUGCCUAGGAAUCUGCCUGGUAGUGGGGGAUAACGUCCGGAAACGGGCGCUAAUACCGCAUACGUCCUGAGGGAGAAAGGGGGGGAUCUUCGGACCUCACGCUAUCAGAUGAGCCUAGGUCGGAUUAGCUAGUUGGUGGGGUAAAGGCCUACCAAGGCGACGAUCCGUAACUGGUCUGAGAGGAUGAUCAGUCACACUGGAACUGAGACACGGUCCAGACUCCUACGGGAGGCAGCAGUGGGGAAUAUUGGACAAUGGGCGAAAGCCUGAUCCAGCCAUGCCGCGUGUGUGAAGAAGGUCUUCGGAUUGUAAAGCACUUUAAGUUGGGAGGAAGGGCAGUAAGUUAAUACCUUGCUGUUUUGACGGUACCAACAGAAUAAGCACCGGCUAACUUCGUG